rnacentral:misc_RNA from 1 species
CAGAACUACAACAGAGGUUUCAACUGCAAUUAUAAUUAUAUAUGUAAAAUCACAUGAAAAUUACAUUAGAAUUGAUAAAAGAAUUGAAGCUUAAAACUCGCAGAUAUUCAUACAGCUGCAACAUCAAUGUGCAAUAACGCAAAAUAAACUCUUGAAAACACACUUUUUAUUGGAGUUGAAGUAAACUCAUCCGUUCUCUUUGCAUGACUUCAGCUCCAAUACUUGUUAUGCACCUGAAAGGGUUGGAGCUGAGCACUCGAACACUGGUUAGUCCCUUGAAUUUUUACUUGCAUACUUAACCUUCUACCUCCAUGAUUGAAGUUCUGCGUCUCAUGUCUAUAAUUUUUUGCAGAAUACUUUCAGUGAAUUGAAAAAUUUUUGCAGAAUACUUUCAGUGAAUUGAAAAA